rnacentral:rRNA from 1 species
UGCCAGACUCCUACGGGAGGCAGCAGUGGGGAAUAUUGCACAAUGGGGGAAACCCUGAUGCAGCGACGCCGCGUGAGCGAUGAAGUAUUUCGGUAUGUAAAGCUCUAUCAGCAGGGAAGAAAAUGACGGUACCUGACUAAGAAGCCCCGGCUAACUACGUGCCAGCAGCCGCGGUAAUACGUAGGGGGCAAGCGUUAUCCGGAUUUACUGGGUGUAAAGGGAGCGUAGACGGCGGUGCAAGCCAGAUGUGAAAGCCCGGGGCUCAACCCCGGGACUGCAUUUGGAACUGUGCUGCUAGAGUGUCGGAGAGGCAGGCGGAAUUCCUAGUGUAGCGGUGAAAUGCGUAGAUAUACGGAGGAACACCAGUGGCGAAGGCGGCCUGCUGGACAUUAACUGACGCUGAGGCGCGAAAGCGUGGGGAGCAAACAGGAUUAGAUACCCCAGUAA